rnacentral:lncRNA from 1 species
GCUCCGGUGUUCAUUCAUCUGGUCCUCCAGGGUCCGGCACAUCUUCUCCAGGUCCAUGAUGCUCUCCUGGGUCAGCUUCAGGUCACCCUCCAGCUUCCGCUUUGCUCGCUCCAGGUCCAUGCGCACCUUCUUCUCCUGCUCCAGGGAUCCCUCCAGAUCAUCCACUUGCUGCUCCAGCUUGACCUUGGCCUUGGUCAGAGUGUUGACCUUGUCCUCCUCAGCCUGAAGGUCAUCUAGGGCUUGCUGGUGGGCCUCUUGUAGAGCUUUCUUCUCCUUGGUCAGCUUGACAAUGAUCUCGUCCAGCCCAGCCAUCUCCUCUGUCAGGUUUUUCACCUUGUUCUCUGUUGCGUGCUUUUCCUUCUCCACCUUGGCCAGGGUCAGCUCCAGGUCAUCGAUAUCUCUC